GCACUGCCAUGGAGCUGGUCUGCCCUGGGGGGUGUCAGCGCACAGCAGAUAAAGGUCCAAGCAUGUCGAAAGGCUGCCGUCUGAUCCUAUUUGGGUCCCACAAGGAGCGCCGCUGAAGCAGAGAUGUGCCAGAUCACAUCAGGCUGUAAGAUACCUGAGGACUAUUUGUUUGCAGACUGCUGGAAGACAGAGACGGAAUCACCUAUUGUAAAAAACUCAAAAGAACA